GCAAUUUGAACUUUCUUGAAGUCCUAAAUCUUUCCAAUAACCAUCUUGUGGGAGAAAUACCUCAAGGAAAACAGUUCGGUACUUUUUCCAAUGAUUCCUAUGAGGGAAACUCUGGGUUAUGUGGACUCCCACUGACAAUCAAAUGCAGCAAGGACCCUGAACAACAUUCUCCACCUUCAACUACCUUCAGGAAAGAAGGAGGAUUUGGAUUUGGUUGGAAAGCAGUGGCUAUAGGAUAUGGAUGUGGAAUGGUCUUUGGAGUGGGAAUGGGAUGUUGUGUAUUGUUAAUAGGAAAGCCUCAAUGGCUUGUGAGAAUGGUUGGAGGUAAACUCAAUAAAAAGGUGAAAAGGAAGACAAGAAUGAGAUCUAAUGAAAAUGGUAGCAGAAUGAAUUAGUUGAUAUAUGGCAUGACUGGAGAAUGUCUUGUUACAUACCUGCCACCUUUGAAAACAAAACUUAAGGGCAAGAACUUGAUCACACUGCAUUGCAUGGGAGAUCUGGUUCAAAGUUUUGCUGUAAUAUGAAUGUGUUGUACUUUUGCUUUUUUGUGUGUUCUUUUUCGUUUGUUGUGUAGAAGAGUGCGAUGUAUUGAGUUGCAGUUUUCAUUUAUUUAAUACGUAUAACUGUGGCAUUAAUUGGUUGUAUAAUAAUAGAUGUUGUAUAUUUUUAAAAAUGCUAUGUAUUGGCCAAUGCUAAAAUAUUUUGUAUCUGAAUUCACGGUUUUAGCUUCUAUUGUAGUCUAUUUAAUUAAUUUUCUAACUAUUUAACCAGCGUGACAUGGCUUUAGAAGCUGAGGUCCAAGGGGCGUAAGUAUAAGAGCACAAACAAUGCAUACUAAAGGAAGGCUAUGGGUAUAGCCUAGGCCUCAUGGUCCGUAGGAUAUCACAGAUUCAUUUUUUAUUAAGUAAUUUUUCCCAAAUUAGAAUAAUUUGAAAUAAAAGUAGCAUUACUAAAAUCAGUUAUAAUUAAAUCUAAACUUUUUCUUUUUCAAUUACUAUUACGAUAAAUUGGCAGUGGUACGUGCUGUAAAUAUUACAUCUACUUAUAAUGUCAGCACCCAAAAAUUAUUUUUAUAAUGUAAAAUUUACAUUGUCAUUAAUUUGCUUUAUUAAUUUUUAUUAUAACUAUUUAAAAUUUAUAUUAUUAUCAUAAAAUCCGUAUCGAUAAUUUUUAAUUAAGCACAAAUUUUUUUAAUUUUAGUAAAUAUUAAAAAAUAUAUAAUAUAAUGUUAGUUUUUUUCAAAAAAAAAAACAACAUUAUCAUUAAAUAAAUCAGUGUGCGCGCUGUACAAUAAUUCACUUUUAUCAUUGAAAAUAAAAAUAAAAACUGUUAUUCAAAAUAAAAUAUGCAUUAGUGACUAUUAUAAUAAUUAUCUUAAUGAUUAAAUAUAUUUUUAUCUUUAAUAAAUAAUUUUUUUUCUCCCUAAUAAAUAUUUGUUUUUUUACUAUCUUAUUAAAUAAUAAUUUUGUUUUUUGUCCUAGAUAUUUUGUUGUAAUCCCUAAUGAAUUAACAAAUUUUUGUUUACUUCCUUUUAAAUUAACGAAUUUUUCUUUGUCCGACUAAUAAUAAAUAAAAAAUUAUCAAAAAAUAAGCACACAAUUUAUGCCAUGAAAUAAUUAUAUCAUGCAUGAAAUAAUUAUUAAUCAUGCAUGAAAUAUUAUCAAAUAAUAAAUUAUAUCAUGCAUGAAAUAAUUAUUAAUCUAUAUCAUUUGGGUGAAAAAUUUCCCAAGUAGUCCAAUACAAAUAAUAAAUAAACUAAACCAACACUUUCCUAAAUUGAAAUAAGAUCAAUAUCCAAUCCAAACAAUAAUCAAACUAAAGUACCUAUUUCUGACGUAGAAAAGGAGAUUUCAAAUAAUUAUAAAAUCCUAAAUUUGGCAAUAAAAAUUAAACUAAAAUAAAAUAAAAUUUCAAAUUUGGCAAUAACACAUUAUCUAAUAAUGACCUCCAAACUAUUAACUCAAUCACCGGUGGCUUCUCUUCCUCAAUUUGCAAUGCAAGUGCAAUUUCUGGGCCACACCAGCUUGCUGCAAACUACUUGGGAGGCACACAAAAGGCUAAGAAUGCUGUUUUCUGAACCUUUAUCAAUUGAUGGUCUGAACAAAUAUUUUCCAUUUCAUAAAUACUCGGGCAAUGGAUACAGUAGAUCAAUGGCUAGGAAGGAAAGUCCUGGUUCUUGAAGAGGCUUCUAAUUUGAGUUCCAAUAAGUUUUCAGACAAUAAAAUUUUCCAUAUUUAGUUAUGCAUCUUAUUUGAUAAUAAUCAGUAUUUGAAAUAUUAAAUAUAACAGUUUACUCUAAAAGUGAUUGAACACAUGAUCAUGAGUUUAGAGCCUUCUUUGGAAGAACAAGAAAAGUUUGGUCAAAGUUUAAGAUUAUUUCUUCCACAUUUGCUUCAUUGCCUUUUAAACUUUCAGAGACAUAAUUUUCAUCGCAGUAUCAAGGUAACAAAGCAAUACACGACUAACCACACAUGACACACCACUAAACAGGCUGGGUUCACUGAUUUAAUUAUGAGGAUCACUGAAUUCUCCUUUCCUCGGAUACAUAUGUUAUGCAUGUAUGCAUGCUCCGGGAUAUUAUGCACUACACGUUGGAUUCUAUAAUGUUUUAAAGAGAAAACUGCCAAGACAUUAAACAAGAUUUCUUAGAACCCUUAGAAUUAGAUAUGAAAAAUAGAAGAGAAGACGGAGAAGAAGAUACAUAAUUGAAGGACAAUAUAUUAACUCUGCUGGUUGCAGGCCAUGAUACCACAAUUAUUCUCAUACAUAGCUCAUCAAAUUUCUUGAUGAAAAUCCAACUGUUCUGGAACAAUUGAGAGUAAAUAUUAAGAACCUAUAAUGUUUAUCCUUUACAUGGUUGAAGAUUGUAAAAACAAGCUUCAUGAAUGCUGAUGUUUUUGUAGGAGGUGCACAAACAAAUUGUUGCAAACAGAAGGAGUCGAAAAAUAUUACAGUGUUUGAAGUUAAUAGCAUUUCCCUUUAUCUGCGGCGACGCUUGUUCCUAACUGAAUAUUUGGGUGCUUUGGUUUGUCUCUGAAACGAGCUCUAUGUUUGUUUCUGAGCAACGGCUUUCCUUUGUCUCUGAGCUUUUAGGUUCGAAGCAUAUUUCACUUUCAGCCUUACCCUCGAGGCGUAUUUUUGCAGCGUAGUUGAGGUCACGAGUGCAUUCGAAUUUUAAGAAUAGGGUUCAUGACUUCAUGUAUGUGCACUGGACCAUCCUGUACACUAGGGAUUGCUAGUGGGAAAUGUAUUAGCAUGGAUAUUCUUUUACUUGUUUUGGAACUGAUAUAACAGGCUUUGGUUCUUGAACGUGUAAUGUUCAUAAACAUCUUAAGUUAAGGUCUGAUUUGAGCAUUUGAGGUUGUAACAUGUAUGCUUUAAUGGAACAAGAUGUAAAAAAGUCGAAUUGAACCUUGGUGGUAAAAUCAAAAUCACACCUCCUCCACCUAGAGGUACAUCACUUAGCAAUACAACACUUAGCGUGCUAGCACUUCAUGUCUAGCAAGAGGAGUGAUAGCUUUGUAACUAAUAACAUUUUUUAGUUAAUUACUAGAUAUAUUCCUGACAAUAUUAAUGGCAUCAACGUCCAAUGAUGGACUAUUGUUGAACAAUGGGUUUUCUCCCGCAAGGCUGCAACUUAUAAUUAAAUACUCAUUUUAAACUAUUUUUCUGAGAAUUUUAAGAUUGUUACGAGCUUGUCUGAGUUUAGGGAUCAAUGGCUGUUAUGGAGUUCAAUAAUUUUAGGGCUCAUCAACCUCAUCUUACUUGAAAAUAAAUUACGUAAUUAAACGAGCCACCCUAAGAAUUUAAAUUAUCUGGAGGGCUAAAAUAAGGAACAUUGUCAAUACUGGGUGAAGAUAAUACACCCAUUCUGAUCGACUCUUCUCAUCAACCCAACGGAGACUGAGUUUGCAGUCAGUGUCAAGAAAACCUCAUUGCUGAUUUGCAGUAUUUUAUAAUAAAUCACAAUUAGAGUAUCACAGUUGUAGACUUGCAGUCAACAUUAAAAACAAAUAUAUAAAGGUUGUCUAUCUUAACAUUAACAUAUCUUCUUAAUUAUGUUUGCGUUUGCUUACUUUUUGUUUUGGUUUUUAAUUUCAACUUGGUUUUCUCGUUUAAGGUGUUCUAAUUUGCAUACUUAGUUAAGAAAAGGCGAUGUAAUUGAAGGAGUAUAGUAAUUUUCUAUUUUUUUCCGUAGGAUAUCGCAUUUGUUUUUUUCAAAGUUCGAGUAAUUCAACUAUAUAAAAUAUUUUUAUAACACAUCAUGAACAUCUAAUCUUAUUGGAAACGAUAUUAAUGAAUGAAAAGAUAAACAUUUAUUUUAAACCUUAUACAUCAUUCAAAUAAUUAUUUCAUGUAUCAUGUUUAAAAGUUCCUAAUUUUUAAUUAUAGUCUCUUCUUCUAAAAUAUAAAGACAUGUACACCAAUUAACAAAGUUUAUGUUGUUUACAUCUUUCUUUUAAAAAAAUGUUGUUUACGACUUAUUUUUCACGUUAAUUAUUAUCAUACUCUCUUUUUUCGAAACAAAAUUGAUAAUCAUAUUUUCUUAUAAAAUUUAAUUAUAACAUUUAAUUUUAUUCUCGUGUUCAACAACCACGUUAGUUACACUUACAACUCAUCCACAAUAUCCUAACAAUGUCCAACUCCUAAAUUGUGACAAAUAUAAGAUUUCUAAUUUAUAAAUAUUUUAAUUUGUAAAUUAAAAUUUUGACAAAUUUUAAUUUAAAAAUAUUUUUUAAAACAAUAUAAUUUUGAAAAAAUAUGUUAAUUAAUUUUAUGGAUGAAAAAAAGAGGAUAUCCCGUGAAGUUGAAGACAAUACAAUUGAAAUGGCAAUACUGAAUAGUGAGCACAAUCUGGGUAGCGUUAUGAUAGGGUUAGAAAUGAAAUGAAAUGACAGCACUGAGGAUGACCUAGCUGUAGCGUUAUGAAAGGGUUUAGAAAAUGGAUGUUUGCGUGAAGCAUGGAAGGAAGCACAUCAUAAAAAUCAAAAUAAAAUAAAACUGCAACACUCCAUUGUUUUCAAAAGUCAUAUUUCAUUUACAUGAGAGUUAAAGAAAUUCAUCAAAUCUCUACCAUUCUUUUAUUAUAUAAAAUUUAAAUUAUUGUCAUAUUUUUACUUAAUAUUUAAUUCCAUCCACUCCACUACUUGCUAAAACUGACCAUAUCCUCAUCCGAUUCACUCAAGGUUUACAAAAUUGGCUCCAUCAUGUUAUUUCAUUUCUAGUUGGUAUUUUAAAGGGGAAAAAUGUUAAAUAAAGAUAUGAACUACAAAAAUCAAAUAAAUCAUGUUUUCCUGAAAAGAGACUUCCAGGUCAAUUAACAAAAUGGCGUGAUGAGAGGAUUGGAAAAUAAAUCAUAUCUAAUUGGAAACGAUAUUAAUGGAUCAAAAGAUAAACAUUUCUUUUUAAACUUUAUACAUCAUUCACAUACUUAUUUCAUCUAUCAUGUCUACCAUUUUCUAAUUUUAAUUUAUAUUUCCUUCUUCGUAAAUAUAAAGACAUGUACACCAAUUAACAAACUUCAAAUUGUUUACAACUUCCUUUAAAAAAAUGUUGAUUACAACUUAUUUUCCACAUUAAUCAAUUAUUGCCUUAAUCUUUUUUUUCAAACAUAACUUAUAAUCAAUUUUUCAUAUAAAAAUUAAUUCUAACAUUUAAUUUUAUUCUGAAGGUUAAUUAAACAACCACAUUAAAAACACUUACAACUCAUGCGCCAUAUCGUAACAAUGUCCAACUCCUAAAUUGUGACAAAUAUAAGUUUUCUAACUUAUAAAUAUUUUAAUAUGUAAAUUAAAAUUUUGAUAAAUAUUAAUUUAAAAAUAAUUUGUUUAAAUAAUAUAAUUUUGAAAAGGAUGUUAAUUUUAUACAUAUGCUUUCAACAAAUAUUUUAUAAUUACGUAUUCUUUUUAAUUUAAUAUAAUAUUUAUUUUUAAAUAUUUCUAACAUCUUGAAAUUAUAUCAUAUAGAAUUAUUAAUUUACAAAUAAUUCUAUAAAUGAUAUAAUUUUGACAAAUGCAUUUUUUUAUGUAUAAUUUCAAAAAAUAUUUUAUAAUUUAAAUUUUUAUAGUUUAAGGUAAUAUUUAUAUUUUAAAUAUUUUUCUCCGAAUUAUAUCUAUCAUAAACAAUUAUUUCUAGCGUUAUUUCAAAAUAAAUUUUGGGGAGCAAUUGCAUAAAGUAAGGCAAAUGUUUUAGCUUGACAAUUGAAAAAAAAUGCAUAAAAAAAGGAUAUCCAUUUUUGAAAUAAAAUAAAUUUAUUUAAUUAAAUUAUAAUAUAUUUUAUUUUUGAAAGUGAAGGAAACACGUCAUAAAAAACAAAACAAAAUAAAGCUACAAACCUCCAUUGUUUUUAAAACUCAUAAAUCCAUAUACCUGAAUAGGGUUAAACAAAUUCUUCAAAAUCUCUAUCAUUCUUUUAUAGUAUCAAAUUUAAAUUAUUUUCCUAUUUUUAAGAUGACAAAUUGUUUCUGUAAAAAAGUUAAUAAAUUAUUAAGAAUAAAUUCAAAUAUAUAUAUAUAUAUAUAUAUAUAAUUAUAACCAAAAACUUAAAAUAUUUGUUAUUAACAAAUCAUAUGAAAGAAAAUUAAUUCAAUGAGCUAGUUCACACGCUAGUUCUGACAAGCACACCCUAUCUCUUCCUUAAAAAAAAAUUUUGUUUAAAUCGUUUAGAUUUAAAUAGGUACGUUUUUUAAUUUUGGUUUUUGCCCCUUUUAAAUUAUUGUUAACUUUUUGCUCCCAAAUAAAUAAAUUUUGUAUUUUAUUUUUUGACUUUGGAUUUAUUUAGAUAGGGCUUUAGAAAAUGGAAUAAAAUUAUUUUGAUAGUUAUUUAGGAAAAGAACAAAAGAAAAAUUUAUUACAAACCAAAAAGUUAACAAAAAUUUAUUAGGAAUAAAAAAAAAACAAAAUUUGAUGAUUUAUCAACAACUAAAUACAUAUUUAAAUAGUUUAUAACACAAAAGAACAUGAAAAAUCAACCAUUAUGCAAUUCUCUUUGAAUAAGAGUUAUAAUUUCCAUCUAGUACUUCUUUACUUGUGAAUAUUAAAAUUAUUAGAUGUAACAUUUUUAAAUUAAAUUUCAGAGAACAACUCAGUCCAUACACUAAGAUAUAUAGUGUUUUACCUUAACAGUUGAAAAAAUUCAUUAAGAAUUAACUAAGGAUUUGCCGUGAAGGUUUCAAUACAAUACAUGCAUGUGUAAUGUUAUUUCAUUUCUAGUUGGUAUUUUAAAGGGAAAACAUGGUUAAACAAAGAUAUGAAGUAGAAAAAUAAAAUAAAUCAUGUUUGCAGAAAAAAUGAGUUCCAAGUCAAGUCAAUUUAAAUUGCAAUUGCUGGGACAACUUUGAUAGCGUGUAAAAAGAUCAUAAGAUUUAUGGUCAAUUUGCGUGAGGUUUGGGCUGUUGAAGUCUUGAAGCUUAAUUUAGCCACAAAUUUUGCAUAUCAUCUUUUUAAUUUGACUAUAAAUAUUAAUGUUUGGUUGCUCAGUAUUAAUUUCAUGUAUAUUUUCCUUCCCUUAUAGUAAAGAGUAUUUGAGUAGAAAAUGGAAUCAUGGAUGUGGUGUUUCCUUCUCUGUUCCCAUUUGCUCAUCCUUUAUUUUUCACCCUCUCAUUCCUUAUGCCACCCCAUGACACCUCUGCCUUGCUCCACUUCAAAAACUCCUUCACUAUUUAUGAAGAUCCUUAUUAUUCUUAUUUUUGUGAUCAUGGUUAUUCAAAGACGACAACAUGGGAAAAUGGGAGAGAUUGUUGCUCUUGGGCUGGAGUCACCUGCCACCCCAUCUCAGGUCACGUCACUCAGCUCGACCUCAGCUGCAAUGGCCUUUACGGCAAUAUCCAUCCAAACAGUACGCUUUUCCAUCUUUCUCAUCUUCACUCACUCAACCUUGCUUUCAAUGAUUUUGAUGAAUCUAAUUUGUCAUCUCUCUUUGGUGGGUUUGAGAGCCUCACGCAUCUCAACUUGUCUUCUUCUGACUUUGAAGGGGAUAUUCCUUCCCAAAUCUCUCACCUUUCCAAAUUAGUCUCGCUUGAUCUCUCAUAUAAUAUAUUAAAGUGGAAGGAAGACACUUGGAAGAGAUUGCUCCAAAAUGCAACAGUUUUAAGGGUGAUUGUUUUGGAUGGAAAUGAUAUGUCUUCCAUUUCAAUCAGGACACUCGAUAUGUCUUCCUCUUUGGUUACUCUUAGUCUAAGACAGACUGGGCUAAGAGGAAACUUGACAGAUGGCAUUCUCUGUUUACCAAAUCUUCAACACUUGGAUCUUUCACUUAAUUGGGACCUUAAAGGUCAGCUUCCAGAAGUGAGUUGUAGAACAACUUCUCUUGAUUUCUUACAUCUUUCAUGUUGUGAUUUCCAAGGGUCAAUCCCUCCUUCUUUCUCCAACCUCAUACAUCUCACUUCCCUAUAUCUCUCACUUAACAACCUCAACGGUUCAAUCCCUCCCUUUUUCUCUAACUUUACACAUCUUACUUCCUUAGAUCUCUCAGAAAACAACCUCAACGGUUCAAUCCCUCCCUCUUUCUCCAACCUCAUACAUCUCACUUUCCUGGACCUCUCACAUAACAACCUCAACGGUUCAAUCCCUCCCUCUUUCUCCAACCUCAUACAUCUCACUUCCCUGGACCUUUCAGGUAACAACCUCAACGGUUCAAUCCCUCCCUUUUUCUCUAACUUCACACAUCUUACUUCCUUGGAUCUCUCAGAAAACAACCUCAACGGUUCAAUCCCUCCCUCUUUCUCCAACCUCAUACAUCUCACUUCCCUGGCCCUUUCACGUAACAACCUCAGUGGUCAAAUCCCAGAUGUCUUUCCUCAGUCAAACAGCUUUCACGAAUUGGAUUUGAGCGAUAACAAAAUAGAGGGUGAGCUGCCUUCAACACUUUCAAAUCUUCAACAUCUCAUUCACUUGGAUCUUUCAUAUAAUAAAUUGGAGGGCCCUCUGCCUAACAAUAUAACAGGGUUUUCAAACCUAACAUUCUUAUGGUUAUAUGAAAACUUACUGAAUGGGACAAUUCCUUCUUGGUGUUUAUCUUUGCCAUCUUUGGUGGGUUUAGAUCUAUCAGGAAACCAAUUCUCAGGGCAUAUUAGUGCAAUCUCAUCAUAUUCCUUGGAGAGAUUGAUUUUAUCCCACAACAAGUUACAAGGCAAUAUUCCAGAAUCAAUUUUUAGCCUUCUAAACCUUACUGACUUAGAUCUAUCAUCAAACAAUUUAAGUGGAUCUGUCAAAUUUCAUCAUUUCUCCAAGCUUCAAAAUUUGAAAGAACUUCAACUUUCACAGAAUGAUCAGUUAUCACUAAAUUUCAAAUCAAAUGUCAGUUAUAGUUUCUCCAAUUUAUUGAGUUUGGACUUAUCUUCUAUGGGUUUAACUGAAUUUCCAAAAUUAUCGGGAAAAGUCCCAAUCUUGGAAUCACUCUAUUUGUCCAAUAACAAACUUAAAGGUAGAGUGCCAAAUUGGUUCCAUGAAAUAUCGUUAUAUGAAUUGGACCUCUCUCAUAACCUAUUGACACAAUCAUUGGACCAAUUCUCGUGGAACCAACAACUCGGUUACCUUGAUCUUAGUUUUAACUCAAUCACUGGUGACUUCUCUUCCUCAAUUUGCAAUGCAAGUGCAAUUGAGAUUCUCAACUUGUCUCACAACAAGUUGACAGGAACCAUUCCACAAUGCCUUGCUAACUCAUCAUCCCUUCAAGUUUUGGAUCUACAACUGAACAAGCUUCAUGGCACUUUGCCAAGUACCUUUGCAAAGGACUGUUGGCUCAGAACUCUGGAUCUCAAUGGCAACCAAUUAUUAGAAGGUUUUUUGCCAGAAUCUUUGUCCAAUUGCAUUAAUCUGGAGGUUUUAGAUCUUGGAAACAAUCAAAUAAAGGAUGUGUUUCCCCAUUGGCUUCAAAUUCUACCAGAAUUGAAAGUAUUGGUUUUGCGAGCCAACAAGUUGUACGGUCCCAUUGCCGGUUUAAAGACCAAACACGGAUUCCCCAGUUUAGUCAUUUUUGAUGUCUCUUCCAACAACUUCAGCGGCCCAAUACCAAAAGCCUACAUUAAAACAUUUGAAGCGAUGAAGAACGUUGCUCUACAUGCCUAUAGCCAAUACAUGGAAGUUUCUGUAAAUGCUUCUUCUGGACCCAACUACACUGAUUCUGUGACUAUAACAACAAAAGCAAUUACUAUGACAAUGGACAGAAUUCGAAAUGACUUUGUAAGCAUUGAUUUAUCCCAAAACAGAUUUGAAGGAGAGAUUCCAAGUGUCAUUGGGGAACUUCAUUCACUCAGAGGGCUAAACCUUUCCCAUAACAGACUUAUUGGUCCUAUUCCCCAAUCCGUGGGAAAUUUGAGAAACUUAGAAUCGUUGGAUCUCUCCUCAAAUAUGCUUACUGGUGGGAUACCUACAGAAUUAAUCAAUUUGAACUUUCUUGAAGUCCUAAAUCUUUCCAAUAACAAUCUUGUGGGAGAAAUACCUCAAGGAAAACAGUUCGGUACUUUUUCCAAUGAUUCCUAUGAGGGAAACUCAGGGUUAUGUGGACUCCCACUGACAAUCAAAUGCAGCAAGGACCCUGAACAACAUUCUCCACCUUCAACUACCUUCAGGAGAGAAGGAGGAUUUGGAUUUGGUUGGAAACCAGUGGCUAUAGGAUAUGGAUGUGGAAUGGUCUUUGGAGUUGGAAUGGGAUGUUGUGUACUGUUAAUGGGAAAGCCUCAAUGGCUUGUGAGAAUGGUUGGAGGUCAACUAAAUAAAAAGGUGAAAAGGAAGACAAGGAUGAAAUCUAAUGAAAAUGGUAGCAUAAUGAAUUAGAUGAUAUGUGGCAUGACUGUAGAAUGUCUUCUUGCACACCUUCCUGUUGAAAUUCAAUUCUGCCUUGUUGAAAAUAAAACAUAAGGGCCAAAACCUUAUCACACUGCAUUGCAUAUGCAUGGGAGAUCUGUUUCAAAGUUUAGUUGUAAUUGUAAUAUGAUGUGUUGUACUUUUUUUUUUCUCUGUUGGAUAGAUGAGUGUGAUGUACUUUUUUCCCCUUCCUUUGCUACUGAAACUCGGGUCUAAAUCAUCAUAAGUUUGAUGUUCUUCAUUUUCCUUGAGCGGGCUAUUUUGUUUUAUUUAAUACAUAUAAUUGUAGUAUUGGUUAUAUAAUAAUAGUUGUUGUUGUAUACUCUUAAAAAUGUUCUGCAUUCGUCGUUGCUAGAAACAAAAUAUUUUGUGUUAACAGUAUGUAGUUAUAUUUCAUUCGAGGAGCUUAGUUCACGUACAGUAGUUUUCCUAUUUCGUUUCUAACUCCCUCAUGCACAUAUUGUCUUACAUGGCAAUUCUAUGACUGGAUGACCAUAUAAAAAAACUUGACACAGAUAUGGAAAGAUUUUCAAGAGCUGUCCUGAGGAGGUUCAUUGUCUUGAUGACUAGGAUGGGAUUGAGUUUGAAUCUGUUUUAUACUAGCCAGCAAUUUCUAGGCCACACCAACCUGCUGCAAAGUACUUGGGAGGCACACAAAAGACUAAGAAUGCUGUUUUCUGAACCUUUAUCAAUUGAUGGCCUGAAAAAAUAUUUUUCAUUUCAUAAAUACUCAGGCAAUGGAAACAUUAGAUAAAUGCCUAGGAAGGAAAGUGUUAGAAUUAAUGUCUCAUGUGAGAGGUAUAUGACUUAGUAGGGACUAAUAAAUAAAUAAUUAACGAUUAAAGGCUAAAUUGUAAUUGGGCUUAAUAGGAGAAGUUUCUAGGUUAACUGCUACUUGAUGGGAGUAGUGGUUAUAAAAGGGGCUUAAUACCCACUAACGUGAAAUAAGGUCCCCUUCCUGACCAAAAAGUGCUCUUUUCUCACCCAUAGCCAUCACGAACGGAGAGAGACAGAAAAGAAAGGUCAAAGGAAGUGAAAUCCUAUUUCUCUCAUCUUCAAAGAAAUCAAAGUGCACCAGAGAGAAGUUCCUAUGGAGAAAGGUACACAUCAUUAUCUAUUAUUCUUUAUUGAUUGUUUGUGAGAAUCAUAGGUUUCAAGAUCCUGUUGGUUUUCUAUAAUUGAUAGUCUAGGAAACCCCUUAAGAAUUUUUACAUGUGGUAUCAGAGCAUGUGUUAUGAAAUUUAUGAUUCUCCAAGAAUGAUUUAAUUUCUCCCAAUUAUGUAUGAACCCUAAUUAUGAAAUUUAGGGAUAAUUUAAUUUCUCUCAAUUAUGUAUGAACCCUAAUUAUGAAAUUUAGGGAUAAUUUAAUUUCUCCCAAUUAUGCAUAAAUCCUAAUUAUGAAAUUUAGGAAUUUUAUUUUCCGCUGCAUUUAUUGUUUUAUUGGUAAUAUUUUAUUAUUGUUGAAUACCAAUUUUUGGAGAAAGUAUAAAUAUUAUGUAAAUUUGGAGAAAACGAUUGUGGCUGCCACUAUCUAUUUAUAAUGGAAAAAGAAAGCGUGAGUUGCAAUUCCAAUUCAUGGAAAAGCUAUGGCUGCUACACGUAGGUUAGUAAGUGAAGGAAUUUUGAAAAGCUGCGCACUGCGCAGGUAUGUUUGUUCCUAUAAGAAAUUUUGGAAAUUGCUAUUUCCAACCUUAUGUUUGCUAUUUCCAAUCCCAUUUAAUUUUUUUUUUCUCCGAAAAAUUAUUGUUGAACGUGAUUAAAGGAUUGAAAAUUUAUGUUCUGUAAUUAAAUUAAUGUGAAUGUUUUGCAAUUAUUGAUAGUAGUAAAUAUAUGUAUAUGCUACAUAUUUGCUUGAACGUGUUGGAAUGUAAAAACACAAAUAAAUGCAAAUCUUAUUUUAUGGUCUGGAAUGAAAUUAAUAGAAUGACUAUGAAUUGUUAAUAGCAAUAAGUAUGUGCAGGCCAUACAUAUUUGGUUGGAAUUAAAUGUAUGUUGAAUUUGUUAGUCACCAAAGUGACCAAAUUUGUAAGAUUAUUUAAUUCCAAAUCAAUGAUUAUUUCAAUUAUACUUGGUUGGAAUUAAAUGUAUGUUGAAUUUGUUAGUCACCAAAGUGGCCAAAUUUGUAAGGUUAUUUAAUUCCAAAAUUAAUGAUUAUUUUGAUUACUCAUAGAAUAAUGGAUGCUAAAUUAUAUGGUUAUUGGUUUAUGGGUAAUUGAAAUUCAUUGUUAUAAGGCAUUUAUGGAUCGCUCAAAGGUUGAUUAGUUGUUCUUAUAAUUAAUGAAUAUAAUUGUAGACGAUUUGUGUGUAUCAUUAGUUUUAUUUAUAUGCCCAAAGGAAAUAGAUACUACUAAUUGGUGCAUAUUUAAUUGCCAAAUAAUGUUAAAAUUUUAUUAGUAUCAUUAUGUUUGUAUGUUGUGUGUUGAUGUAUCACCCAAAGGAGAACAUCAAUAUACAUUGACUGUUAUCUGAAUGAAUCAUAUGUGAUUGAGAGAUGGAAAUACCAUUGUUUCCACGUUUGAUCUUUAUUCCUAAGAUCACAUCCGCCUCCCCCAUAUCUUUCAUAUCAAACUUAGAAGACAAAAAUGCCUUAGUUUCAUCAACUUGAUCUUGGUCGGUACCAAAGAUCAACAUGUCGUCUACAUACAGACAAAUGAUAACUCCUUUGCCAUGAGUAUCAAACUUGCUGUAUAGACAUUUAUCUGCUUGGUUUAUAACAAAACCACUAGACAACACAACCUCAUCAAAUUUUUGAUGCCAUUGCUUAGGCGCUUGUUUCAAGCCAUAAAGAGAUUUCAUCAGUUUACACACCUUAUUUUCAUUUCCUGGCAUAACAAACCCUUCAGGUUGUUUCAUGUAUAUCUCUUCAUCCAAUUCACCAUUUAAGAAUGCAGUUUUCACAUCCAUUUGGUGAAUCAUCAGAUUGUGGAUAGCAGCAAGUGCUAACAACAGUCUAAUAGUGGAUAUCCUAGCUACAGGAGCAUAUGUAUCGAAAAAAUCAAUACCCUUCUUUUGCCUAAAGCCUUGGAUAACCAAUCUGGCUUUGUACUUGUCAACAGUACCAUCCACUUUCAUCUUUCUCCUAAAGAUCAUCUUACAUCCUAAUGGCUUACAUCCAGGAGGUAAGUCAACCAAUUUCCAUGUAUUAUUUUGCAUGAUGGAAUCCAUCUCACUUUGGAUUACUUCUUUCCAGAAUACAGCAUCCCUUGAAGCCAUUGCUUCACUAAAAGUCUUUGGGUCUUCCUCAACAUUAAGGCAAUAUUGAUAUUGAAAUUCAAUAUCAUUCCUUGACCCUUCAACCAAAUAGAGUUGAAAGUCAUCACCAAAUGACUUAGCUUUUCUUACUCUCGUACUCUUUCUAGUUUCAGUACUAGUUAAAGGUAUAUCCUCAAUAUUAACUGAGACUUUCGACAUGGAAUUCAUGUCCUUUGGCCUAGGUAUAGAUGUAAACCUUUGUUCAUGGGAAAAUGGGACAGAUUGUUGCUCUUGGGCUGGAGUCACCUGCCACCCCAUCUCAGGUCACGUCACUCAGCUCAACCUCAGCUGCAAUGGCCUUUACGGCAAUAUCCAUCCAAACAGUACGCUUUUUCAUCUUUCUCAUCUUCACUCACUCAACCUUGCUUUCAAUGAUUUUGAUGAAUCUCAUUUGUCAUCUCUCUUUGGUGGGUUUGUGAGCCUCACUCAUCUCAACUUGUCUAAUUCGUACUUUGAAGGGGAUAUUCCUUCCCAAAUCUCUCACCUUUCCAAAUUAGUCUCACUUGAUCUCUCAGAUAACAACCUCAACGGUUCAAUCCCAUCCUCACUCUUAACCCUCACACAUCUUACUUUCUUGGAUCUCUCAUAUAACCAACUCAGUGGUCAAAUCCCAGAUGUCUUUCCUCAGUCAAACAGCUUUCACGAAUUGCAUUUGAAUGAUAACAAAAUAGAGGGUGAGCUGCCAUCAACACUUUCAAAUCUUCAACAUCUCAUUCUCUUGGAUCUUUCAGAUAAUAAAUUGGAGGGCCCUCUGCCUAACAAUAUAACAGGGUUUUCAAACCUAACAUCGUUAAGGUUAAAUGGAAACUUACUGAAUGGGACAAUUCCUUCUUGGUGUUUAUCUUUGCCAUCUUUGAAGCAGUUAGAUCUAUCAGGAAACCAACUCUCUGGGCAUAUUAGUGCAAUCUCAUCAUAUUCCUUGGAGACAUUGUCUUUAUCCCACAACAAGUUACAAGGCAAUAUUCCAGAAUCAAUUUUUAGCCUUCUAAACCUUUAUUACUUAGGUCUAUCAUCAAACAAUCUAAGUGGAUCUGUCAAAUUUCAUCGUUUCUCCAAGCUUCAAUAUUUGGAAGAACUUCACCUUUCAUGGAAUGAUCAGUUAUCACUAAAUUUCGAAUCCAAUGUCAAUUAUAAUUUCUCUAAUUUAAGGUUGUUGAACUUAUCUUCUAUGGUUUUAACUGAAUUUCCAAAAUUAUCGGGAAAAGUCCCAAUUUUAGAAUCACUCUAUUUGUCCAAUAACAAACUUAAAGGUAGAGUGCCACAUUGGUUGCAUGAAAUAUCGUUAUCUGAAUUGGACCUCUCUCAUAACCUAUUGACACAAUCAUUGCACCAAUUCUCGUGGAACCAACAACUCGGUUCCCUUGAUCUUAGUUUUAACUCAAUCACUGGUGACUUCUCUUCCUCAAUUUGCAAUGCAAGUGCAAUUGAGAUUCUCAACUUGUCUCACAACAAGUUGACAGGAACCAUUCCACAAUGCCUUGCAAACUCAUCAUCCCUUCUAGUUUUGGAUCUACAACUGAACAAGCUUCAUGGCACUUUGCCAAGUAUCUUUUCAAAGGACUGUCAGCUCAGAACUCUGGAUCUCAAUGGCAACCAAUUAUUAGAAGGUCUUUUGCCAGAAUCUAUAUCCAAUUGCAUUCAUCUGGAGGUUUUAGAUCUUGGAAACAAUCAAAUAAAGGAUGUGUUUCCCCAUUGGCUUCAAACUCUACCAGAAUUGAAAGUAUUGGUUUUGCGAGCCAACAAGUUGUACGGUCCCAUUGCCGGUUUAAAGAUCAAGGAUGGAUUCCCCAGUUUAGUCAUCUUUGAUGUCUCUUCCAACAACUUCAGCGGCCCAAUACCAAAAGCCUACAUACAAAAAUUUGAAGCGAUGAAGAACGUUGUUAUAGAUACCGAUCUGCAGUACAUGGAAAUUUCUUUUUCUUAUGGUGGAAACAAGUACAGUGAUUCUGUGACUAUAACAACAAAAGCAAUUACUAUGACAAUGGAUAGAAUUCGAAAUGACUUUGUAAGCAUUGAUUUAUCGCAAAACGGAUUUGAAGGAGAGAUUCCAAAUGCCAUUGGAGAGCUUCAUUCACUCAGAGGACUCAACCUUUCCCAUAACAGACUUAUUGGUCCUAUUCCCCAAUCCAUGGGAAAUUUGACAAACUUAGAAUCAUUGGAUCUCUCCUCAAAUAUGCUCACUGGUCGGAUACCUACAGAAUUAACCAAUUUGAACUUUCUUGAAGUGCUAAAUCUUUCCAAUAACCAUCUUGCGGGAGAAAUACCUCGAGGACAACAGUUCAAUACUUUUUCCAAUGAUUCCUACAAGGGAAACUUGGGGUUAUGUGGACUCCCAUUGACAACAGAAUGCAGCAAGGGCCCUGAACAACAUUCUCCACCUUCAACUACCUUGAGGAGAGAAGCAGGAUUUGGAUUUGGUUGGAAACCAGUGGCUAUAGGAUAUGGAUGUGGAGUGGUCUUUGGAGUGGGAAUGGG
rnacentral:lncRNA from 1 species